rnacentral:snRNA from 1 species
GGAUGUGAGGGCGAUCUGGCUGGCUAGGCGUGGUGUCCGCUUCUUCCCUCAUCACUCCAUGUGCGUCCCUCCCGAAGCUGCACGCUCAGAGGAAGAGGAUGACCUUCCCGGAUAGAGGAGAAGACCGUUCUUCGGUUAAGGGUGUAUGAGUAGCUGCGCUCCCCUCAUAGAAUCUCCAAACAAGUUCUCAAAGAAUGCAGUGAUCACCAGGAUGCUAUUGUGUCUCCAUCCUGAUUUGUCCCAUGACGCUAACAGUUUAA